UACGUAGGGACCAAGCGUUGUCCGGAAUCAUCGGGCGUAAAGAGCGUGUAGGCGGCUUGUUAAGUCUUGCGUGAAAUCUCGGGGCUCAACCCCGAGCGGUCGUGAGAAACUGGCAGGCUAGAGUGCGGGAGAGGAGAGUGGAAUUCCUGGUGUAGCGGUGAAAUGCGCAGAUAUCAGGAGGAACACCGGUGGCGAAGGCGGCUUGCUGGGCCUUACCUGACGCUGAGGAGCGAAAGCGUGGGGAGCGAACAGG
rnacentral:rRNA from 1 species